UACGGAGGGUGCAAGCGUUGUCCGGAUUCACUGGGUAUAAAGGGUGCGUAGGCGGUCUUGUGCGUCAGAGGUGAAAUAUCCGGGCUCAACCCGGAGGGUGCCUUUGAUACGGCAGGACUUGAGUGCGAGAGAGGAUGAUGGAAUUCCUGGUGUAGCGGUGAAAUGCGUAGAUAUCAGGAGGAACACCGGUGGCGAAGGCGGUCAUCUGGCUCGCAACUGACGCUGAGGCACGAAAGCGUGGGGAUCAAACAGG
rnacentral:rRNA from 1 species